UUAAGUUAUUAAGGGCGCACGGUGGAUGCCUUGGCACUAGAAGCCGAUGAAGGACGUUACUAACGACGAUAUGCUUUGGGGAGCUGUAAGUAAGCUUUGAUCCAGAGAUUUCCGAAUGGGGAAACCCAGCAUGAGUUAUGUCAUGUUAUCGAUAUGUGAAUACAUAGCAUAUCAGAAGGCACACCCGGAGAACUGAAACAUCUUAGUACCCGGAGGAAGAGAAAGAAAAUUCGAUUCCCUUAGUAGCGGCGAGCGAAACGGGAAGAGCCCAAACCAACAAGCUUGCUUGUUGGGGUUGUAGGACACUCUAUACGGAGUUACAAAGGACGACAUUAGACGAAUCAUCUGGAAAGAUGAAUCAAAGAAGGUAAUAAUCCUGUAGUCGAAAAUGUUGUCUCUCUUGAGUGGAUCCUGAGUACGACGGAGCACGUGAAAUUCCGUCGGAAUCUGGGAGGACCAUCUCCUAAGGCUAAAUACUCUCUAGUGACCGAUAGUGAACCAGUACCGUGAGGGAAAGGUGAAAAGCACCCCGGAAGGGGAGUGAAAUAGAACCUGAAACCGUGUGCUUACAAGUAGUCAGAGCCCGUUAAUGGGUGAUGGCGUGCCUUUUGUAGAAUGAACCGGCGAGUUACGAUUUGAUGCAAGGUUAAGCAGUAAAUGUGGAGCCGUAGCGAAAGCGAGUCUGAAUAGGGCGUUUAGUAUUUGGUCGUAGACCCGAAACCAGGUGAUCUACCCUUGGUCAGGUUGAAGUUCAGGUAACACUGAAUGGAGGACCGAACCGACUUACGUUGAAAAGUGAGCGGAUGAACUGAGGGUAGCGGAGAAAUUCCAAUCGAACCUGGAGAUAGCUGGUUCUCUCCGAAAUAGCUUUAGGGCUAGCCUCAAGUGAUGAUUAUUGGAGGUAGAGCACUGUUUGGACGAGGGGCCCCUCUCGGGUUACCGAAUUCAGACAAACUCCGAAUGCCAAUUAAUUUAACUUGGGAGUCAGAACAUGGGUGAUAAGGUCCGUGUUCGAAAGGGAAACAGCCCAGACCACCAGCUAAGGUCCCAAAAUAUAUGUUAAGUGGAAAAGGAUGUGGCGUUGCCCAGACAACUAGGAUGUUGGCUUAGAAGCAGCCAUCAUUUAAAGAGUGCGUAAUAGCUCACUAGUCGAGUGACACUGCGCCGAAAAUGUACCGGGGCUAAACAUAUUACCGAAGCUGUGGAUUGUCCUUUGGACAAUGGUAGGAGAGCGUUCUAAGGGCGUUGAAGCAUGAUCGUAAGGACAUGUGGAGCGCUUAGAAGUGAGAAUGCCGGUGUGAGUAGCGAAAGACGGGUGAGAAUCCCGUCCACCGAUUGACUAAGGUUUCCAGAGGAAGGCUCGUCCGCUCUGGGUUAGUCGGGUCCUAAGCUGAGGCCGACAGGCGUAGGCGAUGGAUAACAGGUUGAUAUUCCUGUACCACCUAUAAUCGUUUUAAUCGAUGGGGGGACGCAGUAGGAUAGGCGAAGCGUGCGAUUGGAUUGCACGUCUAAGCAGUAAGGCUGAGUAUUAGGCAAAUCCGGUACUCGUUAAGGCUGAGCUGUGAUGGGGAGAAGACAUUGUGUCUUCGAGUCGUUGAUUUCACACUGCCGAGAAAAGCCUCUAGAUAGAAAAUAGGUGCCCGUACCGCAAACCGACACAGGUAGUCAAGAUGAGAAUUCUAAGGUGAGCGAGCGAACUCUCGUUAAGGAACUCGGCAAAAUGACCCCGUAACUUCGGGAGAAGGGGUGCUCUUUAGGGUUAACGCCCAGAAGAGCCGCAGUGAAUAGGCCCAAGCGACUGUUUAUCAAAAACACAGGUCUCUGCUAAACCGUAAGGUGAUGUAUAGGGGCUGACGCCUGCCCGGUGCUGGAAGGUUAAGAGGAGUGGUUAGCUUCUGCGAAGCUACGAAUCGAAGCCCCAGUAAACGGCGGCCGUAACUAUAACGGUCCUAAGGUAGCGAAAUUCCUUGUCGGGUAAGUUCCGACCCGCACGAAAGGCGUAACGAUUUGGGCACUGUCUCAACGAGAGACUCGGUGAAAUCAUAGUACCUGUGAAGAUGCAGGUUACCCGCGACAGGACGGAAAGACCCCGUGGAGCUUUACUGUAGCCUGAUAUUGAAAUUCGGCACAGCUUGUACAGGAUAGGUAGGAGCCUUUGAAACGUGAGCGCUAGCUUACGUGGAGGCGCUGGUGGGAUACUACCCUAGCUGUGUUGGCUUUCUAACCCGCACCACUUAUCGUGGUGGGAGACAGUGUCAGGCGGGCAGUUUGACUGGGGCGGUCGCCUCCUAAAAGGUAACGGAGGCGCUCAAAGGUUCCCUCAGAAUGGUUGGAAAUCAUUCAUAGAGUGUAAAGGCAUAAGGGAGCUUGACUGCGAGACCUACAAGUCGAGCAGGGUCGAAAGACGGACUUAGUGAUCCGGUGGUUCCGCAUGGAAGGGCCAUCGCUCAACGGAUAAAAGCUACCCCGGGGAUAACAGGCUUAUCUCCCCCAAGAGUUCACAUCGACGGGGAGGUUUGGCACCUCGAUGUCGGCUCAUCGCAUCCUGGGGCUGUAGUCGGUCCCAAGGGUUGGGCUGUUCGCCCAUUAAAGCGGUACGCGAGCUGGGUUCAGAACGUCGUGAGACAGUUCGGUCCCUAUCCGUCGUGGGCGUAGGAAAUUUGAGAGGAGCUGUCCUUAGUACGAGAGGACCGGGAUGGACAUACCUCUGGUGUACCAGUUGUCGUGCCAACGGCAUAGCUGGGUAGCUAUGUGUGGACGGGAUAAGUGCUGAAAGCAUCUAAGCAUGAAGCCCCCCUCAAGAUGAGAUUUCCCAACUUCGGUUAUAAGAUCCCUCAAAGAUGAUGAGGUUAAUAGGUUCGAGGUGGAAGCAUGGCGAUAUGUGGAGCUGACGAAUACUAAUCGAUCGAAGACUUAAUCAA
rnacentral:rRNA from 1 species